rnacentral:rRNA from 1 species
GACGAACGCUGGCGGCGUGCCUAAUACAUGCAAGUAGAACGCACAGUUUAUACCGUAGCUUGCUACACCAUAGACUGUGAGUUGCGAACGGGUGAGUAACGCGUAGGUAACCUGCCUGGUAGCGGGGGGUAACUAUUGGAAACGAUAGCUAAUACCGCAUAAUAUUGAUUAUUGCAUGAUAAUUGAUUGAAAGAUGCUAUUGCAUCACUACCAGAUGGACCUGCGUUGUAUUAGCUAGUAGGUGAGGUAACGGCUCACCUAGGCGACGAUACAUAGCCGACCUGAGAGGGUGAUCGGCCGCACUGGGACUGAGACACGGCCCAGACUCCUACGGGAGGCAGCAGUAGGGAAUCUUCGGCAAUGGACGAAAGUCUGACCGAGCAACGCCGCGUGAGUGAAGAAGGUUUUCGGAUCGUAAAGCUCUGUUGUAAGAGAAGAACGGGUGUGAGAGUGGAAAGUUCACACUGUGACGGUAUCUUACCAGAAAGGGACGGCUAACUACGUG